ACCAAGGCUACGACGGGUAGGGGAUCUGAGAGGAUGUCCCCCACACUGGAACUGAAACACGGUCCAGACGCCUACGGGUGGCAGCAGUGAGGAAUAUUGGACAAUGGGCGAAAGCCCGAUCCAGCAACGCCGCGUGGAGGAUGAAGGCCUUCGGGUCGUAAACUUCUUUAGGGGGAGACGAGAAAGGACGGUAUCCCUAGAAUAAGCGACGGCAAACUACGUGCCAGCAGCCGCGGUAACACGUAGGUCGCGAGCGUUAUCCGGAUUUACUGGGCGUAAAGCGCUUGUAGGCGGUUCUGUAAGUCGGGCGUGAAAUCUCCGGGCUUAACCCGGAGUGGCCGUUCGAUACUGCAGGGCUUGAGGAUGCUAGAGGGUGGUGGAAUUCCAGGUGUAGUGGUGAAAUGCGUAGAUAUCUGGAGGAACAUCCGUGGCGAAGGCGGCCACCUGGGGCAUUCCUGACGCUGAGAAGCGACAGCUAGGGGAUCAAACGGGAUUAGAAACCCCGGUAGUCCUAGCCGUAAACGAUGGACGCUAGGUGUUGGCAGAUCUAACCCUGUCUGCGCCGAAGCAAACGCGUUAAGCGUCCCGCCUGGGAAUUACGGUCGCAAGAUUAAAACUCAAAGGAAUUGACGGGGACCCGCACAAGCAGCGGAGCGUGUGGUUUAAUUCGAUCUACACGAAGAACCUUACCCAGGUUUGACAUACUAGUGGUAGUGAACUGAAAGGGGAACGACCCGCAAGGGAGCUAGUACAGGUGUUGCAUGGCUGUCGUCAGCUCGUGUCGUGAGAUGUUGGUUUAAGUACCCUAACGAGCGCAACCCUUAUUGCCAGUUACACGUAUCUGGCGAGACUGCCGGCCACAAGCCGGAGGAAGGCGAGGAUGACGUCAAGUCAGCAUGGCCUUUAUAUCUGGGGCUACACACACGCUACAAUGGGCGUAACAAUGGGAUGCCAAGCCGUGAGGCGGAGCCAAUCCCCCAAAUACGUCCUCAGUUCAGAUUGCAGGCUGCAACCCGCCUGCAUGAAGUCGGAGUUGCUAGUAAACGCGCGUCAGCUAUAGUGCGUUGAAUACGUUCCCGGGUCUUGUACACACCGCCCGUCACACUAUGGGAGCUGGUAAUACCUGAAGCCGGUAGCCUAACCGCAAGGAAGGCGCCGUCAAAGGUAGGGCUGGUGACUGGAGUGAAGUCGUAACAAGGUAGCUGUACGGGAACGUGCGGCUGG
rnacentral:rRNA from 1 species